UGAGAACCAAGACAAAUAAGAGCUCAUAAGAUUAGAUUUUAGGGUAAAAUCGAGAUCUCUGAUUAAGAAUGAAGGAUUGAAGAUUUUAGGAUAAAAUCGAGAUCUUUGAUUAAGAAUGAAGGAUGUCAAUCAUCCCACGAUAACUCAUAUCGAUUAAAAAAUAAUAAGAGAGAAGAAAGAAGCAUGUGUUCUCUUGUGUCCCUCUCUUUUUUGGUCCUCCAAAAUUCUUUCACCAUCAUAUCACAUAUUCUAUCAUGUAUUCCUCAAAAAAGAAAUUUAUUUUUUUAAAAAAAAUAAAAGAAAAAAACUCAAAAUCCAAAAAUUUGAAUCCAAGAAUGUAGAUAGAUGUAAAAAAAAGAAAAAAAAAAGAAAGAAAAAUUAUAAUAUUAUUAGUUAUUUUGCUAUCUUUUUUUUUGCUUCUCCACUAAUGGCAAUUACCGCAAGUGCUGCAAAAUCAACACAAAAAGAAUAAAUUAAAAUUU